rfam:Drosophila virilis strain TSC#15010-1051.87 Ctg01_16298, whole genome shotgun sequence.
UGCUUGCAUUCCGCUUUGCCCAGCUGCAAAACGCAUGUUAAGCA